UACAGAGGUCUCAAGCGUUGUUCGGAUUCAUUGGGCGUAAAGGGUGCGUAGGUGGCGCGGUAAGUCGGGUGUGAAAUCUCGGGGCUUAACUCCGAAACUGCAUUCGAUACUGCCGUGCUUGAGGACUGGAGAGGAGACUGGAAUUUACGGUGUAGCGGUGAAAUGCGUAGAUAUCGUAAGGAAGACCAGUGGCGAAGGCGGGUCUUUUGGACAGUUCCUGACGCUGAGGCACGAAGGCCAGGGGAGCAAACGGG
rnacentral:rRNA from 1 species